GGGAAGUUAGAGAGACCUAAAAUUGCAUAUUCCUGAAAACCUUUGUUGCUGAAUGCAAGUUUGUGGGCCCCAUGCCCAGUGAGGCCAAAUGUUAGAGUCUGGAGCAAAGAAAGGUUUAUUACAGGGCCAAGCCAAGAGAAUGGAUGGCUCAUGCUCUAAAAACCCGAAACUCCCCAAUGGUUUGGGGGGAGAGUUUUUAUAGGCAGCAUUUGGGGUGAGGGUUGCAGGGCAUGUGACUUUCUUCUGAUUGGCUGAUGGUAAGAUAACAGAGCAGGGCUCCAAGAAUCUUGUGCUCAACCUGAAGUUACUGUCCUCCACCUGAGUGGGGACCUUAGUUCCUGCAGGAGAACUCAAAGAAAUGUUGGGAGUUCCCAUUGUGGCUCCGUGGUUAAGAAUCCAACAUAGUGUCAGUGAGGAUGCAGGUUCGAUCCCUGGUCUCGCUCAGUGGGUAAAGGAUCCGACAUUGCCGCAGGUUGUGACAUAGGUCACAGAGGCAGCUCAGAUCCAGUGUUGCUGUGGCUGUGGUGUAGGCCUCAGCUGCAGCUCCGAUUUGGACCCUAGCCCAGGAAUUUCCAUAUGGCAGGUGCCGCUGUAAAAAAAAAAAAAAAAAAAAAGAAGAAGAAGAAGAAAAAAAGCUAUAUUGAUAUGUGUAUCCCUUGAGGAGGAACCAGGACCUGCCCCAUGGCUGCCCUGUGGUCUCUUGACAGCUCCUCCCCUGCUUCUGCCUUCCCUCUCUUCCCUAAUGAGUAGCUAUUUGAAUCUUCCCUUUGGAACUCACGGAAGGAAUAGGAGACUGAAGCCUGUCUCCUGCAAAGAAUGGAGACGCAGAAAGGUCCUGCUUGGUUUCACUUUUUCUUGCUUAUGAGGGACACCCAGCUGUUGUUAGUUGGAAUGUCACCAUCCUGUAUCUCUAGAUCUUACAGGUGGCCUUUUAGACUUGUCAACGGAAGGCUGAAUCCAAACUUUAGUGGGAACGUUGGAAAUACCAUCUCAUGGGUGUGAGACAAACACUUAAAGAAGCAACUUGCGUGAAAAACAGAAUGUAGGAGGUGUUGAAAUAAGUUGUUGACCCACUGCCCUCUCUUCUCAUUACAAAACCAAGUAUUUAAUGCCUUCUGUGAUGAGUAUUCAAAGCAGAGAGGUGAUAAUAGAAGGAUUUCUUAGAAGUAGAGUGAAGCAGUCCUUUAUAUUUGGACAGUGAUUGCUGAGGGCUAUGGGUUUCUUUCAUGUGGGUAUUAAUUCACUGUCCUUCUUACUCAGUGGGGCAGACACAUCCAUCAUUUAAAUGAACAUAGAAAGUCAGAAAUGGGCCCUCCAUUAACAUAUCCUCAGGAGGCAGUGAGUGCUUCCCCACGGUUGCCUGAUGCGAUGCCUCCCUGGAGCCCAGCUGCCUGGCAGCGCCCCCCACCCUGAACCCCCGCCUGGUUCCCUGCCUUUGCCGUCCAUGUCCCGAGAGUCAUUCCCAGCAAGCUCUUCUUCUGAGCGCUCUCUCCCACCAAUGCCCCAUGGGGCCGAGUUAUUUAUUAGACGCUGCUGUGAACUUGAUGCGUGCCUUCCUGGAACGAGAAAUGACUCGUGUCUUUAGGGUGGGGAUCCGUUGAAACCCGGUUUAAUUAGCUAGAUGUCCGGGGGAAUGCCUUUAUGCCCCUCUCCUGGUUCCACCUACUUCGUCAAGGACACAAAAGUCCUGGAAAAGCACGGCGAUGGUGGGAAGAGGCGCUUCUCUGGGCUGCACAUACACCUUUCAAGGUGAUGUGCAGGAUUCUCCCCGCUGCCCAGACCUCCAGAGGCAUCCACGCAGCCGUUCCCUGUGAGGGCACCUCGGAAAUCAAGGCAAAAUUCUCCCCUGUUGAAAGCACACACCUCUCAGGUGGGACUCCAGCCUACCACCUUCUAACUGAAACCGCGCAAUUCGCCUCAAGACUGAGUAAAAAGCUCAGGUUCUUUAUGUCUCAGCAUAGAAGGAAUUCAGUGAGAGGCAAAGUGAUAGACAAGAGAUGGAAUGUGGGCCAUCUCAGAAGGCAGGAGGUCCCCAAAGUCUGGGGUGGUUAAUUUCUAUGUGCUGGUUCAUUCCAUAGGCCGAGUGGGAAGAUGAGUCCCACUGUUUUGGAGAAGGGACGGGGAUUUCAAAGAACUGGGCCACCACCUCCUUUUUGGCCUUUCAUGGUGGGCCUUGAAACUGUCCUGGCACCUGUGUGGGGGUCAUUUAGCCAGUAUAUUACAGUGAAUGCUUAACGAAGCUCAAGAUCCGCUGGAAGUUGAAUCUUCCACCAUCAGUUUGACUUUUCUUUGCAGGGGGCACAUCCACAACAUGUGGAAGUUCCUGGGCCAGGGAUCAAACCUGCACCACAGCCAUGACCCAAGCUGCUGCGGUGACAGUGCCAGAUCCUUAACCUGCUGUGCCACAAGGGAACUCCUAUGUGAUUCUUUUCAAGGUGGCACCCUGCCCCCUUCCCUCCUGUCUUGCUAUAGUAAUGCUCAUCCCUACCCCAGCCUUUCAUCCCCUCCACUCAAAGAGUGACACUUGUUUAAUGGUAAAGAAGAUUGUAUUCAAGACAGUUGCACUAGAAGUCACCUCGGUUGUAAUGGGGCGAGAGUCGAGAGAGGGAACUCAACUGCAAAUACAGCAGGACAGUGGGGAUGUAUAGCCAAGGAGCAGGGUGACAGGGUCGGUGGGUGGAAAAUGACUAAGAGGAGCCUCAAAGGAGGGAGGAUUCUUGCCGCACUGAGCUCACGGGAUUCUUGCUGAAGGCAGGCCAAGGACUUAGACCUCAAGGGUGUGAGAGGAGGAACUUGAUUAGGUGUGAAGGGUGGCGAAUUCUCUGACUUCACAACAUCCUUGCUCAAACUGGAUUCAGCAAGGAUGGACACAGAAGGCCAGGCCAAGGCCGGGUGAAGAGAGAGGCCCAGAGAACAGGACCAAACUUUGGUCAAGGAGAGAGUCUUUGUUAAAGGACCUCUGCCGACUGCCCUUGGCCCCAUGCCCAAGAUGGACCUAACUUCUAAUCCAGGAUGGGGUGGCAGCUUUCUUCAGAGAUGCCCCCAAACCGAAAGCUGUUUUUCUUCCCUAUGUGCCGCCCCCGCUCCCCCAGCACAACCUUCAGACCACAAAGAUGGGCUGGGAUGACGAUCUUUCUGUUCUUCCCCAAGGGGACUUGUGCCAAGACAAGGACAGUAAUUCGAACGCCCCUUGGCGAUCUUGUGUCAUUUCUCAUCUCUGACUCCCUCGGGGUCCGUGGAUGCUGUCAGAAUCCCUAGAACCCUAGUGCCGAGGGACUGAUAAGAAUCAGAGAGGAGAUGGCUUUGUUUUCUGGUUGUUUCCCUUCCUACCAUUGUUGUCUCCAGCCUCCUCAACACAGUUAAGUUCCAGAGUUACAACUUAAACUAAAGAAGAAAAAUUUGAAGGACUCUUUAAAAAAAAAAAAUCUAUUAAAGUAUAGUUGAUUUACAAUGUGGUACCAACUUCUGCUGUGCAGCAUAGUGACCCAGUCAUACAUAUAUAUACCUUCCUUUCCUUUAAAACGUUUUAUUUUUAAUUUUAAGGACUCUUAAUUUAACCUACUCGGCUUGCUCUCUUGCGAGUUUGCCAGAUCUGCUGCUUCUUACAUGAGGUUUGAUGGUCUUCACUCCCCCAAGGUGCCUGUGUCAUAGACACAUACGAAUGGGAUGGAACUGUCCCACCCAGCUCCAUCCCCUCCUACUGUGUCUAAGCUCCCAGCACCCAACAUUGGGGAAGGAAGUUCCCAAACACCUUCCUUUUCUCCUCAAGGCUGCUGACCGAGAGCAUGAGCUCCUGCCAAGCUCUCUCUACUCACCUGCUUUCUCUCUCUCUCCCUCGAGUCUAAUCCCUCUUUCAAGUUACGCCUCUGCAUAGGUCUUGGGCGGACAGCAGUCGCGGCUCCAGAAUCCAUAGAGAAGUUGAAAAGCUGUCCCUUUCCAUCCUGGGGACAGCCGUCCAGUUGGAAGGGGGCCAGGCAAUAUGUCUUAGAGCCAUUUACACAUCAGCUCUGCUAUGUUAUAGAUCAGGAGGGUCAGCCGUGCCUUUUAUCACACAAGACCCACAGGAGAUUGAGUAGAUGCCAGUUGUCUGUAUUAUAGAAGCGUGACUCUUCGAAAACAAUGGCAUUAAUUUGGGGCAGUGGGGGACAUGCCUGGAAGAUAGUGACCAUCAGUCGAGAAAACACACAGGCAAGGAGCCCUUUUUUUCAUCUGAAGUCUGCAAUCACUUCGUUUUAGGUAAGAGAUGUGUGCUUGCAAAAAAGGGCCUUUAAAGUCAUCUCUGCCCUUGAGUCCUCUUUAUCGGCUCUCUUCCCCAUGGCAGGAUUCAGCCUUGUGAGCUUCCAACUUAGUGAUGGAAGAAGGUUUGGGGUUCGGGGGGUCUAAGGCUCAUGCAAAGAGUCCCAUUCUAAACAACAGCAUUCACAGAAAGCCAAAGAGAGCUCAAAGUCAAUAGGAAAACCCAAAGUCCAAAUACUGGGAAAGUCAGACAUGAAUGACACCUGUGAUGGGGACCAAGGAGCCUCACAGCCAAGGGAUAUGGGCUCGUGUCUACACAGCCUGGCAAAACUACACGAGGGUCCUGGUUGGGAGCUUCUGUACCAUCCAGGCCUUGCAUCUAGAGAUCAUGGAUUGGCUUGGGGUGGAGGAGGGGAGUGCGGGUGUGUUCUGGGAGCAUUCUCGCUAGAACAGGUGGGCUCCCCUGAACUCUCACUGGCUUGUGCUCUCGACCCAGACACACACGCUGUCUGUCCCUGCACGGUGCGCUUUGGGUUGUCCACCUGGGACUGCCCUUAUUCUCUCACUCAUCCAUCUUAUAGUCUGGAAUUCAUUCAUUCGGUACAAAGUUACGGAGCUCUUAUUAUUUGCAGGCUUCAGGGUCAUAAUCAUAAGCCAAAAUAGGAGUUCCUGCUUCUUAAAGCGCUGAGAGAUUGGUGGGGGAGAGCGACGUUUACCCAUCAUCCCAGAAAUGAAUCCACAGUUGCAAACCGAGAUCAGUGCCCUGCCUGUGAAGACGUGAUGUGAGACGGUGAUAGGGAUGCUUUCCCUGCCCUGGGGACAGUGGGGUGGAGAUAUGCUGGGUAGUAGGAAUCCAUGAAGCAAAGGCACAGAACAGAAGGGAUUAUGUUCCAGGCUCAGGGAAUGAUCACCAGAGGUUCUAGAUGGGUGGUGGGGGUGGAAGGAAUAGCACAGCUUCCAUGAAUAGGAGGUCAGUGUUGUUGAAGGGAAGAGUGCUAGAGGAACUGUGGGUUCUGGAGCCCCAGAGGCACGGGUUCAAAGGUUGGCUCCACUGUGUCACUUUGGGCAAGUUAUUUAAACUUUAUGGAGUUUCCGUUAUGGCUCAGCAGGUUCAGAACCUGACAUAAGGACCGUGGGGAUGCAGGUUCAAUCCCCUGGCCUUGCUCAGUGCGUUAAGGAUCUGGCAUUGCUGUGGCUGUGGCUGUGGCAUAGGCCGACAGCUGCAGCACCAAUUUGACCCCUGGCCCAGGAACUUCCGUAUGCCACAGGUACGGCCAUAAAAAUACAGAAAAAUAUCUUUCUUAGCCUCUGACUUCCUCAUUUGUAAGUUAACAGCAGUACCAGCGUGGUGAUUAUGGUUAACGGCACUGUAUUAUAUAUCCUUGAAAGUCGCUGAGAGAGUAGAUCUUACAUAUUCUCAGCACAGAAAUGGUAAUGAUGGGAGGUGAUGGAGUUGUUGACACCCCCUGCUGUGGCAGUAAAUCCUUUCUCAUUAUAUACACGUAUCAAAUCCUCACAUUGUAUGCUUUUAAACAUACACGGUGCUAUAUGUCAAUCAUGUCUCAUUAAAGCUGGAAAAAAUAACGACAGUGCUCCUAGUCAUCUAGGCUGGUGAUUAGUAAUACCGGCCAGUAUUUGUCUGUGGCCUUUGAAGAGUGAGGCUGGGGACCAGAGGACCAAAGUAACUUUAAUAUGUAAUUAGAGGUAUGGUUCAUCAGAAAAAAAAAAUAUUGGUCUCAACCUGGAUGGUACCCUUACAUUUACAAUUGUAGUCUCGUUAGGAAAUUAAUAGCAAUGAUAUUUUUCCAAAAAUAAGAGUUAAGAGAUGGAUACAAAGUUAAGAUUUGGGGGGAUGUUGGGUUGGUGACUUGGUUGGGUGGUUGAUCCCCUUGGUUUUUGGUCUUUCCCGUGGUUGGAGGAGAAGCAUCAGUGGAAGCCAAGUGGAAGGGAGAACUUUGGAUGAAAGACGCCUUGGCUUGGUCAGUCUGCAUCCGGUGCUAGCCAUCUGCAGUAUCCUCAGGUCUCUCUCUGGUGGUUCAGACCCA
rnacentral:lncRNA from 1 species